GUGGGGAAUAUUGCGCAAUGGGCGGAAGCCUGACGCAGCGACGCCGCGUGAGGGAUGACGGCCUUCGGGUUGUAAACCUCUUUCAGUAGGGACGAAGCGGAAGUGACGGUACCUACAGAAGAAGCACCGGCCAACUACGUGCCAGCAGCCGCGGUAAUACGUAGGGUGCAAGCGUUGUCCGGAAUUAUUGGGCGUAAAGAGCUCGUAGGCGGUCUGUCGCGUCGGCUGUGAAAUCCCGAGGCUCAACCUCGGGUCUGCAGUCGAUACGGGCAAACUAGAGUGUUGCAGGGGAGACUGGAAUUCCUGGUGUAGCGGUGAAAUGCGCAGAUAUCAGGAGGAACACCGGUGGCGAAGGCGGGUCUCUGGGCAACAACUGACGCUGAGGAGCGAAAGCGUGGGGAGCGAACAGGAUUAGAUACCCUGGUAGUCCACGCCGUAAACGGUGGGUACUAGGUGUGGGUUUCCUUCCUUGGGAUCCGUGCCGUAGCUAACGCAUUAAGUACCCCGCCUGGGGAGUACGGCCGCAAGGC
rnacentral:rRNA from 1 species